CCUGGAGAGAAUGCUUUUUUUUUUUUUUUCCCUUCUUCCCCUUAGUUCUUUUACCCAAAGCCAUGCAUAUUGCUCCAUUGUGGAAUCUUACCCCAUCCUUUUGUCCUUCUUUUCCUUACUUACCUGUUUAGAAAGAAACUCACUGUAAAACUAGUGGAUCUGUGUAGAUCAGAUACUACUUGUUUUCCCUGCACAAGUAUUGCUAUUUAUUUUGAACUGUUAGGAGCCAAAUAGAAACAAACUAUUUAUCUCCUUCCUUUAGGAGCGUGUUCUCCAUUUGGCACAUGCACAGAGGCAAGCCCCUCUUUACAAUCAACUCCUAUUAGCUGGAAUAAUGGAGCAGUAAGAUUCACAAACGGAGAGCAAUACACAGUAUAUCUCUACGGCUUGCUAUUUGUAGAAUAACUCCUGAGUGUGGCACUCAUGAGUUAUACACAGAGACUUUCCUGCAAAUAAAGACCACCAGGUACUUGCACCAAGAUCCUCAAAAGGAUUUCUAGACAUCAAGGCUCUUUGGUGUUUAAAUACAGUUCAUGAUCUGGAUUUUGGUCCAUAUCUGACCGUAUACCACAGCAACAGACUGCAUGGCUCCUGCUUUGGGCUAAUGGUAUUCAAACAGCACGGUAAGUGGAGAACUGGAGUGAGAUAGGUAG